ACAGCCCAUAGCAAUUGUUCUCACCCUCGCCCUCUUCCUCGUAUCCACUCGCGAAAAUAGCCAAAGAGCACAUUCCCUUACCUGCCAUGGCGAUCCAUCCCCGGACCACCGGCGGUCGCAGGCAGCCGCUGCCGCUACCCCUGAAGGGGGCCCUCCUAGCCGCCAUCGCUGUCGCGACGGCUCUCUCCGUCCUGUUCGUCCUGUCCUUCACGGACACGCUGACCUUCACGGACACGCUGCCCUACCUGGGGUUCCGGCCCCGGGACGUCGACAAGAGGGACGGCAACCGGAGGUACCUCUACUGGGGAAGCCGCGUAGACUGCCCCGGCAAGCACUGCGGCUCCUGCGCGGGCCUCGGGCACCAGGAGUCCAGCCUCCGCUGCGCCCUCGAGGAGGCCCUCUUCCUCGACAGGGUGCUUGUCAUGCCUGCAAAGAUGUGUCUCAGUUCAGUGCACAAUACAAAGGGGGUCCUUCAAUCAAGCAAUGCAACUUCACAACAAAGGUGGGAAACAGGUUCUUGUGCAAUGGAAUCCUUAUACGAUAUUGACCUCAUAUCAAGAACCGUACCUGUUAUUUUGGAUAAUCCACGGUCAUGGUACGAGAUAAUAUCAAGAAGUACAAAACUCGGUGAGGAUGGCUUGGUGGUGCAUGUGCAAGGGGUUAGCAGAGCUGAACUCAAACAAAAUUCAAAUUACUCUGGUGCUCUCCUCAUAAACCGCACAGCAAGUCCUCUUGCUUGGUUUAUGGAGUGCAAGGACCGGACCAAGCGGAGUUCUGUGAUGUUGCCAUACACUUUUCUGCCAACAAUGGCAACAAGGAAACUGAGGGAUGCAGCAAACAAGAUGAAAGAGAUACUUGGUGACUAUGAUGCUAUUCAUGUGAGACGAGGUGACCUACUGAAGAAUAGGAAAGAUAGAUUUGGAGUUGAGCGAAGUCUUCAUCCUCAUCUUGACAGAGAUACUCGCCCUGAGUUUAUCAAGAAAAGAAUCGCAAAGUGGAUUCGACCAGGUCGCACUCUUUUCAUUUCCUCAAAUGAAAGGACCCCAGGCUUCUUUUCAUCUCUAUCAGACAAGAACUGUAUUCCUGAAUGAUUACCUAAGUAAUAUAUUUCAAAUGUUUAAAAUAUCCCCUGAGUGAUGGAUGGUUUCAUCUUUCCCAAGUAACUAUCACCAUGGACUGCUAAUAUAAAAGUACAGGCUGGCAUAUUCAUCUAACUUCAGCAGCAUAUUGAAUCCGAUAGUCAAGAACAACUAUCAGCUGUUCAUGGUGGAAAGGUUGAUAAUGCAAGGUGCGAGGACGUUUGUGAAGACAAUGAAAGAGUUCGAUGAAGAUCUUGCUCUCUGCGACGAUCCAAAAAAGAAUACCAAAGACUGGCGGGAACCAGUUUAUACAGAUGACUGACGGCAGCUGUUUUGUAUUCAUAGAUGCUUAGGUCCAACUAUAUCAACGACAUCAACAACUAAACUUUUUAGUCCCAAGCAAGUUGGGUCUAACUGUAUCACUGAUCUUAAAGGUUUCACAAAGAUGACCAAUUACAUGCCAUUUAUGAGA